rnacentral:rRNA from 1 species
GACGAACGCUGGCGGCGUGCUUAACACAUGCAAGUCGAACGGAAGGGCCCUGCUUUUGUGGGGUGCUCGAGUGGCGAACGGGUGAGUAACACGUGAGUAACCUGCCCUUGACUUUGGGAUAACUUCAGGAAACUGGGGCUAAUACCGGAUAGGAGCUCCUGCUGCAUGGUGGGGGUUGGAAAGUUUCGGCGGUUGGGGAUGGACUCGCGGCUUAUCAGCUUGUUGGUGUGGUAGUGGCUUACCAAGGCUUUGACGGGUAGCCGGCCUGAGAGGGUGACCGGCGACAAUGGGACUGAGGUACGGCCCAGACGCCUACGGGAGGCAGCAGGGGGGAAUAUUGCACAAUGGGCGGAAGCCUGAUGCAGCAACGCCGCGUGCGGGAUGACGGCCUUCGGGUUGUAAACCGCUUUCGCCUGUGACGACGCGUGAGUGACGGUAAUGGGUAAAGAAGCACCGGCUAACUACGUG